UAAACGCAUUGGUUUUCAGCGUCCACUGUACCGGAAGUGUCGCUCCAUGCAACCGGAUAUUAUGAUGAUGCUUGCAACCGGAAGUGAUGCCCCUGCAACCGGAAAUGACUCCCUCUGCAUCCGGAAGUGGUGCUCCCAUCAACGGGCGACCAUGUGUCCGGACAAGCCAAAAGACCGUCUACUCGGUCCGUUCCACUGACGGGCGGAUUGUUUGUUGGCGGACCCGACCCUUUCGACUGCCGGUGGACUCCCAUUUGGCAACUAUGGUGUCGAGGAACGGAUCGUUUUGCAUCUAGAAAGUCGGUGAAGAAAAUUGGCCAUUCCAUGAGAACAAACGGACACUUAAACUUUCAAUUAAUUGAUUGUCAAGUUAACAACAUUGAAACCUUAUUGAAUAAUAGGAGUCUAUUUUCAUACCAUAUACUGUUAAUUAUUGUUGAGUGUCUAUGAAUUAUGAAAAGUUACCAUUAAGGCCACUGUUAAUUUAUUUCUUGUUUCACUGUUAUUUGAAAAGAAUGUUUGGUGUGGCUAAACAUUAAACAUAUAAAGCUUUUAAUGUGACUGCAAAAAGGGUACACAUGUUUUGCCUAUGGGAUGUUUUCAUACUUUUAUCAAAUAGCCAAAGGAGCUGUAUAUAAUGUUCCUUAAUACAUACUUUUUACAUACAUGAAUAUAAUGUAAUGUGGUUCGAAAAAUGCGAAUGAUUUCAGUUUUGUAUUGGCAAGUAUUGUGAAACAAAAAUCUCUUAACAUUGGCCUUAUCUUAGGAAAUGUUAGAUUAUCACGAAUUGAUGAAAUGAUUUACUUAUGUAAUUAUUAUAGUAUGGUUUGAAUGUAUUUGUUUUGAUGAAUUCCAAUUAAUUUAUAUGAUGCAGUAUCACACAUUUAUAUGAUGCAGUAACACACAUUUAUAUGAUGCAGUAUCACACAUUUAUAUGAUGCAGUAUCACACAUUUAUAUGAUGCAGUAUCACACAUUUAUAUGAUGCAGUAUCACACAUUUAUAUGAUGCAGUAUCACACAUUUAUAUGAUGCAGUAUCACACAUUUAUAUGA